rnacentral:misc_RNA from 1 species
UGUUUUUUCCCACCAACUCUCUUUUUGUGCUGGUCAAUUUUUGUAGUAACAAGAACAUAUGCUUUACCUUCAUAAACCUUAACAGAUUUAGGAAGAGAACUUCCAUUGAUACUCUUCUCACCUUUGAAAUUUUCAUGAUGCUCCAAUUUUGGAUUUCUUGGAGGUACACCGGGUAGUUUUGGUAACUGAAUGAUGGGUAUUGGCAAAAGAUCAAAUUUGUCUCCAGAACCCGAGAGCUUAGGAAAAUUAGAUUGGAGAUUGGAUGGAGUGGAAGGAGGGAAUGAAGCAAUAACAAAGAUUAUGGGUUUAGUAUCUGGAUUGACAUUAUUCUUGAUUGUUGCCACAGUUACCUCUUGCAACCUAGCCAGUGAAUAAGCCUCUGAAAGUGUCCUUGGCUUAAACAUAUUCACUGCCAAUUGCAACUCAUCAACCAGUUCAGAGAGCAAAAAAUUCAAUGCUUUCUCUUCUUGAAUUCUAGCUUUUGAAUACAACUGGUUAAAGGAAUUCCAAUAAUCUUGCAAGGUAAAUUCUUGUUUCAAAUUCUUUAAAUCCUCUAAUGGAUCUUCCCUUGCUUUUGUGGAUUCACUUGAGUCAUAUUAUUGGCGAUCUUUAUAUUGCGAAAACUUAUACCAGUAAGCAACGCUUUAAUUUCUUCCAAAGCUUCUUGAUGUCGUUGCUCUGCUUCCUUUCUCAAAACCUCCUGUUGUUGUUCUAAUUCUUGCAUCAUGACAGUGAAUUUUUGUACAAAAUCUUGUGAUUUCAUAUCUUCCAUCGUGGUUAAGGAUCUAACAGCUCUGUUUGUAACCAAAAAAAGACGGAAAGAAAAACAGAUUGAGAGAGAAGAAUGAGAAUGACCAAGAAAGCAGAAUAGGCAAGAAGAGAAAGGAAUGAAAAGAUCAGAAAGAAUAGAGGAGAAUUUAGAAGAACCCUAGGUUCAAGAAAAGAGGAAACGGAAAGGAAGAAUAGCAGCAGCAAAAUCCAUGGCCGAGCGUCAUUUGCUCUGAUACCAAUGUUAUGGAUUUUUUUACAGAAACAGAAAACAGAGAGAAAAUAGAGAAAAAUCAUGAGGGAGAAGAACACAU